rnacentral:tRNA from 1 species
ACCCGGCUGGCUCAGUUGGUAGAGCAGCCAACUCUUGGUCUCGGGGUUGUAAGUUCAAGCCCCACGUUGGGUG